rnacentral:snoRNA from 1 species
AGGCAGUUUUUGCUACAUGAAAGCUGUAAAUCUUGCUCUCAUGUCGUUCCCUAUUCUGCAAAAUCAAAUUUUUAUGAGACGAUAUGCUUUGCAUUAAAAUU